ACUUUGCAUAAUCUCACUAGUUAAAGCUAAUUGUUUUAAUUUCAACCACCAAUAAAACCUCCAGAAUGGUCAUGAGUGCAUCUGUUACUUAAUCACAGAAGUGAAAACUGUAACUGGUUGUUACUGGGAAUAAUCUGGUUGGCAAUUUCUCAGCAGUCAUCGAAGAGUAAAGUUCCAGGAAAAGACAUUCAAGGAAACCACAGAGGCACCAGGAUGAAACCACAAAGUCUUAAUACCGUACUCUCCUCUGACUCUGCUCUUGGUACUCGUGUCUUCUCGUGGCCUUUGGAAAUCACCCUCUCGUGCCGGCACUAAGUACAGGAGCACAUGGGUCAUGUGUGUCAGAUGUUGUGAUCUGUGUACUUGGCCACAUACAUGGGGAAGUGAUCAUGGAUGCACGUGUACCACGGAAUCUUCUUACAACAUCCAGAUGCCUCGGCUUUUCUGUCAGAGUCCGUGCUCAAAAACCGUGUCCCCACAGACAGCAGGAAAUCGUGCUUAAUGCCUGAAAAGGGAAAUCUACAAACACUAUGAACAAAAGGUGUUUGUGGACAUCUGAAUUUGUAAGUGCUUUCUGAACGUCCCAUUCCACCUUUCGUCACCAUGUACAUAAAUGUUCCACUCUUCUGGGAAGAUGAUGUUCCACUAGAUUCUGGAGUCAACUCUUUGAUUCAUUCAGCUACAGGAGUGUUGGCAAAGUCAGAUCCUGGUGUUUGUGAGGACACCUGGGGUGCAGUCUUGAGCUUUACAGCAGGAGAUCUUCCACUCCAACCCAUGUAGAAGAUCUUCAUGGAGCUGGCUUUGUGCACAGGAACAUUGUCAUGCUGAAACAACAGGUUUGGGUGAAAGCAAAAUCUAAUUUAACUACAUCUGAAGACCUUCUUAACAACUUUGUGUAACAGUUUUAUAAGUCAGGUGUCCCAAAGCGUUUGUGUAAUUGAACUAUAAAGUGAAUAAAAAGCUGAUG